rnacentral:rRNA from 1 species
UACGUAGGGGCCGAGCGUUGUCCGGAGUUAUUGGGCGUAAAGCGCGCGCAGGCGGCCUCGCGCGCCCGACGUGAAAGCCCCCGGCUUAACCGGGGAGGGUCGUUGGGGACGGCGGGGCUUGAGGGCGGGAGAGGUCGGUGGAAUUCCCGGUGUAGUGGUGAAAUGCGUAGAGAUCGGGAGGAACACCUGUGGCGAAGGCGACUCACUGGCCCGAUACUGACGCUGAGGCGCGAAAGCGUGGGGAGCAAACAGG